rnacentral:rRNA from 1 species
UACGUAGGGAGCGAGCGUUGUCCGGAUUCAUUGGGCGUAAAGCGCUCGUAGGCGGCUUGGUAAGUCGGAUGUGAAACCUCCAGGCUCAACCUGGGGUCGCCAUCCGAUACUGCCAUGGCUAGAGUCCGGUAGGGGCCCACGGAAUUCCUGGUGUAGCGGUGAAAUGCGCAGAUAUCAGGAGGAACACCGAUGGCGAAGGCAGUGGGCUGGGCCGGCACUGACGCUGAGGAGCGAAAGCGUGGGGAGCGAACAGG